rnacentral:rRNA from 1 species
UACGAAGGGUGCUAGCGUUGUUCGGAAUCACUGGGCGUAAAGCGCGCGUAGGCGGCGAUCCAAGUCAGGGGUGAAAUCCUGGGGCUUAACCCCAGAACUGCCUUUGAAACUGGAUUGCUAGAGUACUGGAGGGGAUAGCGGAAUUGCUAAUGUAGAGGUGAAAUUCGUAGAUAUUAGCAGGAACACCGGUGGCGAAGGCGGCUAUCUGGACAGUAACUGACGCUUAGGCGCGAAAGUGUGGGGAUCAAACAGG